GUCCACGCCCUAAACGAUGUAAACUCGACAUUAGCGAUAUACAGUUAGUGUCUUAGCGAAAGCGUUAAGUUUACCACCUGGGAAGUACGUCCGCAAGGAUGAAACUCAAAGAAUUGGCGGGGUCCGCACAAGCGGUGGAGCAUGUGGUUUAAUUCGAUGAUACGCGAGGAACCUUACCUAGGCUAGAAUGCAAUUUGACCGCUCCUGAAGGGGGCUUUGUAGCAAUACACAGAUUGCAAGGUGCUGCAUGGUUGUCGU
rnacentral:rRNA from 1 species